UGGGGAAUAUUGGACAAUGGGCGCAAGCCUGAUCCAGCAAUGCCGCGUGGGUGAUGAAGGCCUUCGGGUUGUAAAGCCCUUUUGGCGGGGACGAUGAUGACGGUACCCGCCGAAUAAGCUCCGGCUAACUUCGUGCCAGCAGCCGCGGUAAUACGAAGGGAGCUAGCGUUGUUCGGAAUUACUGGGCGUAAAGGGCGCGUAGGCGGUUUCGAUAGUCGGGCGUGAAAUCCCCAGGCUCAACUUGGGAAUUGCGUUCGAUACUGCGAGACUUGAGUGAGGGAGAGGAUAGUGGAAUUCCCAGUGUAGAGGUGAAAUUCGUAGAUAUUGGGAAGAACACCAGUGGCGAAGGCGGCUAUCUGGACCUCAACUGACGCUGAGGCGCGAAAGCGUGGGGAGCAAACAGG
rnacentral:rRNA from 1 species